rnacentral:tRNA from 1 species
GGUUCCGUGGCCGAGUGGCUAGGCAGUGCUCUGCAAAAGCAUCUACAUCAGUUCGAAUCUGAUCGGAACCU